rnacentral:rRNA from 1 species
GACGAAGCCGUGCGAACGUUAUUCGGAAUCACUGGGCUUAAAGCGGCGUGUAGGCGGGAUGGCACGUCGGUCGCUGAAAGCCCCCGGCUCAACCGGGGAAGUGGCGCCGAUACGACCACCCUGGAGGGACGUAGGGGGACCGUGGAACUUCCGGUGGAGCGGUGAAAUGCGUUGAGAUCGGAAGGAACGCCCGUGGCCGAAAGCGAGGUCCUGGACGUUUUCUGACGCUGAGACGCGAAAGCCAGGGGAGACGAACGGG